UGCGCUCGGAAGGAUUCGAACCUUUGACACUCGGAUUCGAAGUCCGAUGCUCUAUCCAACUGAGCUACGAGCGC
rnacentral:tRNA from 1 species